rnacentral:rRNA from 1 species
GACAGAGGGUGCAAACGUUGCUCGGAAUCACUGGGCGUAAAGGGCGUGUAGGCGGGAAGGAAAGUCAGAUGUGAAAUCCCCAGGCUCAACCUGGGAACUGCAUUUGAAACUCCCUUUCUUGAGUAUCGGAGAGGAAAGCGGAAUUCCUGGUGUAGAGGUGAAAUUCGUAGAUAUCAGGAGGAACACCAGUGGCGAAGGCGGCUUUCUGGACGGUA